rnacentral:rRNA from 1 species
UACGGAGGGUGCGAGCGUUAAUCGGAAUUACUGGGCGUAAAGCGUGCGCAGGCGACUUUGCAAGACAGAUGUGAAAUCCCCGGGCUCAACCUGGGAACUGCAUUUGUGACUGCAAGGCUAGAGUACGGCAGAGGGGGAUGGAAUUCCGCGUGUAGCAGUGAAAUGCGUAGAUAUGCGGAGGAACACCAAUGGCGAAGGCAAUCCCCUGGGCCUGUACUGACGCUCAUGCACGAAAGCGUGGGGAGCAAACAGG